CACUGAUCACCAAGCAGUACUCCUUACGGUCCUACUCCCAUCCAUCCUGUGAUCUCUUCUUUCUCCACUCCAGUGAGCCAUGUUGUGAAUUGUUAUAAACAAGGACCAAAAACAUCAUAGGUACAUACAAAAGCACCAUCCCAGCUCCAUUACAAGAACAUGUAUCUGCUUACAAAAAAGCUAGACAAAAGAUGUAACAAGCAAGUUGUCCCCCUGGUUGAAUCUUCUUUUCUCCCAAAGAUACCGAACCAGAUCAGCAUACCUCCCUUGCACCCAACGCAUACCUCUCCCUGUACAUGUACAUGCAGCUGCCGCUUCUACCCCUAGAGAACCCCGGCAACCACAGGGUCCUACCGCCGGCCAUAUAAGCACACGCCAUCUAGUCCAUCCACUCGAUCCCCGAGAUAGAUUCUGGUUUGCUCUUUUGGUCGUGUGUGCAGUGCGCUCGGUCGUGUGGUCGAUCGAUCAUGUCGAUGGCGCAG
rnacentral:lncRNA from 1 species